rnacentral:rRNA from 1 species
CUGGCUCAGGAUGAACGCUGGCGGUAUGCUUAACACAUGCAAGUCGAACGGGAAUCUUAGGAUUCUAGUGGCGGACGGGUGAGUAACGCGUGAGAAUUUGGCUUCAGGUCGGGGACAACAGUUGGAAACGACUGCUAAUACCGGAUAUGCCGAAAGGUGAAAGAUUUAUUGCCUGAAGAUAAGCUCGCGUCUGAUUAGCUAGUUGGUGGGGUAAGAGCCUACCAAGGCGACGAUCAGUAGCUGGUCUGAGAGGAUGAUCAGCCACACUGGGACUGAGACACGGCCCAGACUCCUACGGGAGGCAGCAGUGGGGAAUUUUCCGCAAUGGGCGAAAGCCUGACGGAGCAAUACCACGUGAGGGAGGAAGGCUCUUGGGUCGUAAACCUCUUUUCUCAGGGAAGAAAAAAGUGACGGUACCUGAGGAAUAAGCAUCGGCUAACUCCGUGCCAGCAGCCGCGGUAAUACGGAGGAUGCAAGCGUUAUCCGGAAUGAUUGGGCGUAAAGGGUCUGUAGGUGGUGCUGUAAGUCUGCUGUUAAAGAGUCACGCUCAACGUGAUAAAAGCGGUGGAAACUACAGGACUAGAGUGCGGUCGGGGCAGAAGGAAUUCCUGGUGUAGCGGUGAAAUGCGUAGAUAUCAGGAAGAACACCGGUGGCGAAAGCGUUCUGCUAGUCCGCAACUGACACUGAGGGACGAAAGCUAGGGGAGCGAAUGGGAUUAGAUACCCCAGUAGUCCUAGCCGUAAACGAUGGAUACUAGGCGUGGCUUGUAUCGACCCGAGCCGUGCCGGAGCUAACGCGUUAAGUAUCCCGCCUGGGGAGUACGCACGCAAGUGUGAAACUCAAAU